GUUAGAACAGGAAAUUGGUGAUUUUUGUUGAUGGUCUCAUUUGAGUAAGGCCUCUGGUGUUAUUGAUUAGAUUGCAGAGUUUCAGUAUUUAUGAAGAUCAGGGUGAUGAAGGACAACAUGUGAUAAAUAGACAAAUUGACAGAAAACUUGGAACAAGGAAGAAAAUGGGGAUAUAAGAAACUUUUGAAAGCGUGUUGAUUUGGAUAUUCAUCUGGGGACAGAGCUGAGAAAUGAUUGGACUUCGAGGUGAAGAAAGAUGAGGGGAGGGGUAGCUGCUACUUGAUGACCGACUUGGAAAUCCCUGAAGGAAGGCCCUUAGCUAGUCUAAGCUAGGGAGAGGAGAACAUCGCAUCCAUUCACCAUAUCUAUCCUGAUGGGUAUGCUGCUCUGAGAUGAGGGAUAGAACAGACGGUUGGUGUCACUUCUUCACUUCACGGAAGGAGGUCACCCACAACCUUUAUACUUCGCUUCUGACUGGAAAGCUUUCUGAGAACUAGCCUGUCGGUGUAGGAUUUGAAUGUCCACAGAGGAAGGCACUAUGUCAAUCUAAAUCAACUUUAAGCAGCUCAAAGAAGGAGCUAAAGCUUCCCGAAAUCUACAAGAUAUAAGUCACCUGUCUGUAUCCC
ensembl:lncRNA